CCCGUGGUGCAGCGCGGCGGGCGGGGCGCCUCCCCGGGGACGCGGCGCUGAGGGCGCUGCCGGGGCGGGGGGCGGCGGCCGCGCGGGUCGGCGCGGUCGGUCGUUACGGCCGGCGUCGCGGCCGCGGCUUGGGGCCGGUGUCGCCCUUCGUCGUCGCCGCGGGCCGCCGCUCUCCCCCUUUCACGCCGAAAGCGCGUUUGGUAAACCCGGACGAAAAUGGGGCCCGGCCCUCCCCCGGCGUGCGACCUCGUUGGCGCUUACUUACGGCUGGGGGGGCAGCCCGCGGCCUCGGCGGGGCCCGGGCGGGGCGGCGGCGGCGGGGCGGCGGUGGCGCCUGUGGCGGGUCCCGCCCGUGCCCUCCUCGCUCCGCUUCCAGCCGCGCGCCGGAGUGUGCCAGAGCGAGCCCCGGCCGAACGGGGGCCGGCGCGGAGAGAUCCCGCGUUUGCGAUUUAACUCCUUUUUUUGUCGGAACAGCAGCGCACAUUUUCUUGUUCCAGCGUAAACAAAGGAGUUGAUGUGCUGCGCUCGUAAAGCUGCUGAAGGAUGCUUGCUUUUAUUGGAUGACCUACGAUUGAGAAAGAGAUCCACGAAACGGACUUGGCACACCUUCCCGAGUUGCAGGAUACUGUGAUGGGGGGGGGGGGGGGGUGUUCCCGUUCCUCCCCUCCCCCAAAUAUUAAAGUAUAUGCGGAAUACUAUUGAAAUAUAUGGGGCAAUUGUUGUUCAGGCUGAAAUGAGUUAGAAAUUACUCAGGCUCUUGUGUAUCCAUCUGUUGAGUCCCAGCUCCCUCCUUCACCUCUCUGCCAACAGCACCCCUGCUCCACCUUGUCUUUUUGACUUGGGUAACGUUAAGCCUUAUUUUCACACAAAUGUACAGUUUACCAGGGGGUCAGGGGAAGGAAUCACUCCCAGCUACCACAAUGCUCAGGCUGUUUUAUCUAGAAAAGAACCGGGGCAGCCCUGAAGGAAGCGGAAGAGGCGACCUGAUAGCAUUCCCAAAACACUCUCAAAGAGGACGCGGGUGGCGUACAGUGUGCCAGCUGCGGACACAUCCUGCACUUUUUCUUCAUCUUUGUGUUAUAAUUGGAAAUGACGCAUGGAAGAUAGUUCUUCAACAUUACACCUUUCCAGAUGUCGUAAAUCAUUCCCACUUAAAUGAAAAUAAAAACAUUAACAGAACAAAAUGCUAUUAAAACAACUGGAGGGUCUUUAGAAUUUAGUAUUGAUUCCAGAAUCUAGUAUCGAUUUGAGUAUUUGAGUAUUCCUCAGAAAUAUUAAGUGGUGUUGCAAAUGGAAUGUUUUAGGUUGUGUAACACUUUUUACUAUCAUCCAAUUGUUGACACAGCUGCAUACUCCUUUACUAUUUACUGAGUACCUUCUUUGUCAGCUUAGUAACAUUUAAAAAGGAAAUGCUUGCCAUUAGUAUCACUUCUUCAUCUAUUUUUUUUACUUUGUUUUCUGCCUUUUAUGCCUCUGCCCUACUUUCUUUUCCUCCCUUUUGCAUUUCCUCACCUUUAGUAACUUUCUAUUCCUAUAUCAUAUAGGUCUCACACCCCAUGCUAAAAGCCUAAAUCUGUAGUAAUUAAGUAGCCCGUUAAAACUGCCUUUGAAAUACACUCAUUGUUUUCAGUAUCGAAACAACAAAGCAAAAAAGCAUAGGCAGGUUUAUCAGUCACAUAAGUGGCUGUUUUAAGACUGACAGAUAUGUUCUGCAGUAGUUCUCAAUCUACCCACAGGUCUGAUGAUCCAGUCGUCGAUCCGCUUGUUUCACACACAUAAGAUGAACUGAACUUCCAUUACUCAGGAGAGCUCUGGUGUUGCAGCGUUGGUGUUGGACAGAGGAGGAUGUUUGUCAGCCUACAGAAUGAACACCCACAAGAAAGAUACGUUAUGAAAUGUCACCUCAAGUUAUAUGGAAUUUUAAGAAUUUGUGAAGACGUCCCAGAGGAAUUACAAGCAAAAUUUAUACAUGAUGCUCAUGGAAGAGAUUGGAACGAGAGUUUCAAGUUCCAGAAUAAAUGGAGGAUGGUUAUUCUGGUCUGAACAAGAAAAACUGUGGUUGCUGUAGUCAGGAUUGAAAACCAGGUUUAGUUUGAAAAAAAAAACAUAUGUGAAAUCCCCUGAGACAUAGAAGAAGGAUAAUGUUCAAAUUGAGAUGCUGUAGUAUUGCAGAAACUGUGUGCUGAGAUCCUGGCUCUCAUCCUCCCUUGAAUCCCUGGAAGUCAGUUGCUUUUUCUCUAGCACUGUUCUCCGUCUCUUACUAGAGAUACUAAUAUUUCAUUUUUUCCUCCAUUUGUCUUCUUUGCUUAUUCAAAUUGAAAGCUUGUCGGAACAGGGACUGAAAAUCUCUUGGUAUGUAUACAUCAUGAAAUAAAGUGGAAACCUGAUCUUGGUUUGGUCUCUCAGGCUACCAUAUGAAAAAAUUUGUAUGUAUUUCUAUAUAUAUAAAGGUAAAUGGCAGAUGUAUGAUAUUUGAAAAAUAUUUUUUUAUUUUAUUUAUUAUUUCACUUUUUUCCAUAUAGAUAUCUAGGGAAAGCUGAAUGUUGAAAUGUAUCAUGUGAAUAGUUCACUCUGUCAGACUGAGUGGGAGAAGAUUGUCAGCUGGCCAAUGACAGUAGCUUUCCGGAUAUUUUGCACAACUGGAACAUCACAAGGAUAUGAACCAGCAAUAAUUUUGUCAGACUGCAAAAAUGGCUGUAUUUGGCAAUUCUGUACAAAGGAGUUUUCAGCACAGAUGCAAACAUAGGAUAAAUUAUUGUACUAAUGUCUGUAUAUCCUUUCUAAGCAGAAGUCUCUUCCUCUAUUUAUAAAUAAGAAGUAUUAAUUGUAUGCCUGGAUUUUCUCUUUUCUAAUAAUUCCAUUUUCAGAGGAGUUCAAGACUCUGAGAAUGGUGAGGUAAUUUGUCAUACCUCUGUUCAGUUCAAAAGGCCCCUUAAAAUCCGAUCUUCUUUAGCUGUUGCAGCUUUGUGGCUGAAAACCACUAAACCAAACAUUGCUCAGUGUUGUCAAAAGAUUUAAAUUCAGGUGAAGUUGGUCAAGUUUAACAUGAAGAAAAUGACUCUUCAAAAAGUUAUUCUUUAUGGGUUAAAAUCUGAAAAACUGGAGAGAAAUUCGGCCAUAGAUUUAGUCAUACUUUCAUUACCAGAAACUGUGGAGCUAGCAUGGUUUGCCUUACUUGUAUAACUCCUGUACCUCUGCUUUCCAAUAUUAAGACCACACAAGCUGAUUUCAAAGUCUAGAGGUAAUGAAUAGGUCUUCAUUAUUUUUAUAUGAUUCCAGGGAGAGGUACACAACUCUGUUUGCGUUGUUUGGUUUCCCCACAGAUAAAUAUAACACUUUUACCAUGCAAAGAGGUAGGGGGGGUUCAUUAGCAGUGAGAGUGAAAAGGUAAGAGGACACUUGCCAGAUUAAAUAAUUUCGUGUGAUCAGAAAGGGAGGCAUAAAAAAAAUUACAUGUAAAAUGUGAUGUAUUGACUCAUUUAGCUGCCAUUGUUACAGUUUUUCUAGACUUAUUCUUUUAAGAUUCUAAUUCUCAAUAUUCUUUGAACACUUUGAACACUGGUGUUCUAUCUUCUACGGUUGAGGAUUUCAGGUUUCAGAAUAUCAUUCCUCCUGGAACUUACAGGUUUUGACCUUUUUUCCUAAAUGCCAAAUUUCAAUAGAUUUCCAGAGUUCAAUAAUCCACAUGGUAUCUUUCUUCCAUAUUUUAACAGUCUCAGUGUGUUCCGUAAUUGGUUGAUUAAAAAUGUAAAAAGGUGGAGAUGCAGAACGGUUUGCAUUGGUGUACCUAUGAUAUUUAUACUUGUGCUGUGCUGAUCCUGGCAGGAUGCCAGGUGCCCCCCAAAGCUGCUGUAUCGCUCCCCAGGAGAGAAAAUACAACAAAAGGCUCGUGGGUUGAGAUAAGGACAGGCAGAUCACUCAGCAGUUACCGUAACGGGCAGAACAGAUUCAGCCUGGGGAAGUUAGUUUAAUUUUUUACCAAUCAGAUCAGAGUAGGAUAAUGAGAAAUAAAGUAAAAUCUUA